GCCCGGUUAGCUCAGUCGGUAGAGCGUUCGGCUUUUACUAAACAACACCGAAAUGUCGGGGGUUCGAGCCCCCCAUUGGGCG
rnacentral:tRNA from 1 species